ensembl:lncRNA novel transcript, antisense to LRIF1
AGAAGGUUUGAGUCACAUAAGAGCGUCGGCCAUCUUGGUUUUCAUCUCCCGUGGAGAUCUACUCGGUCCGCCUAUUAAACUUGAGACGCUGGGGUCCCGCGGAGCCGCUGUGUCAGGCUCUAAAGAGGUUUUACAUUUCCCAGAGGAAAGCGCUCUAUGGGCUUUAAGCGCCGCGGAGACAAGCGCUUCCCGCCUGGGUGGCGCACUCUGCGGGCUCCAACUCCUCUCAACUACACAGCGUCCGGAAACGACGGCCGACUCCACAUCCCUAAGACGGACAGAGGGGCAGCCGUGGGGAGGAUUCGAAACCGGUACUUACCAACGCGAGGCGUUGCCUGAAUUUUCCUCUGCGGGUUUCAGGAAGACCCUCCGUAGGUUAUUUGACAUUUUAGUGGGGAGAAAGGGGACACCUCAUCCAGAAAAGUGGGAAGCGUGGGGCCGAGUUUCCCAAUGGGGCGAGAACCAGAGCGAGGGAAUGUUGGGCUGGAGUUGCCCACAGCAACUGUGAGGGGUUCGACCUUAACGGAGGGCGACAGCGGGCUCUCGAGAGGGUGUAUCCCCAGGCUUCGGGACGAGGUCGCGCACCGCGCAGAAACCGGAAGGCUCCUGGCGGUGGACUGCGCCCUCACAGCCCUACGCUGAGAGAGAAUCGGCGUGAGUCUCCGCCCUCAGAGCCUACGACAACUCUCCAGACUCCGCCGGAGCAGGCGCAGGGGGCGUGGCCUUGGUGGCACCACCCCCAACAGAGCCUGGUCAGUGCUGAAGACUGCGUCAGUCUGGCUCUGCCGCCCCGCCCACUGAAGCCGAUAGCUGGAGCAAAGCUCGGUCGGGCGUCUUCCGGGGUCGUCACGUCCGGUUGCCAAGGUGACUGGCUCGCUAAAGCCCAACCCUUAUGAUGCAAUCCAAUGGCAAGUGAUAUUUGCUAUCUUUUCUUCCGGAUCAAGGAACAAAUCGCAAAAGAAAGCUCUCCCGACACCUACGCAAAAUAAAAUGUUUCCGGGGUCAAUCAUAAAUUUUCUGCUUCUGUGCUCGCCGCUAGCGUACGUUUUUCUCUCCCGUCAGUGCAUUAAAAGACAUCGGCGCGCUUUUUUGGAGUCAUGCACUUCUGGCCUGAGAAAACUUAAAACGCCUGCCUGUGGCCAGCGAUUAUUGUUGCUGCUUCUCUGAAGGUUUCCCAUUUACUCCUCUUUCCUGAAGCUUUGCCUCUAGACUUACUUAACUCUUUCCUCCAGCCUACGUUCAUCGAAACUAUCACUUAUUGUCAUAUAGACCUUUAUUUCUGAAGGGAGAUCUGGGAGUUGCAUCAGAACAUCCAUUGUAUUCAUUAAAUCAUUUAUUCAGCUGUCCA